ensembl:lncRNA
AAAAAACAGUUUUACUUCUUAGACAAAAACAAAAACAUCACAAGAUCCUGCGUAUUUUUGCUCAAUGUCCUUUCUCAAUUUGCUUGCAUUGCUGCUUUGAUUAUCAACGCGCUCGCGGGACCAGGAAAAGGUACAUUUCAGCGCAGCACUGGAAAUAUUUCAGACAGAGAUCACUCCUGCUGGAUGGACUUUUUCGAUAUGGGGUGUCAUCUAUUCCUAGCUCUUCCUGAUGAACGCAUAUCCUGACCUGGCUCUGUAGAGGGUUGUACUCAAGUCCAGCAAUCCUGCCCUCUGAAUUCUUUCUCUCAUGGAUCAUCAACACGAUUCUGAACAGUACCUGGCUGGUCUUGUGGGAUAGAGAGUUGUAGGCAGCCAACAUAUUUUGAGGCACAAUCAUAGCUCAUGGAUCUUGGCUUAAACCGCAGCACCCAAAAGACCUUUUCUGCAUCAUAGUGUUGGUUCAAAAUGGCAUUGCUACCUAUGCAGCAUGGACAACCAUUGCCACACUGCUCAACUUCACUAUUGUGUUGGAUCUAGCAUCAGUUUCCCCAACAAAUGCUGCUACAGCUUCUUUAUGCAUACUUCUGUUGGAAGUAAUUAUAUGGUUUACAGUUGAAAACUUUCUAAUAGAGAAGCAUGUCCGUUACAUCCUCACCGUUUACCCUGUGAUUAUCUAUGCUCUAAUUGGAAGCCUAAGCAAGCAUUACGACGCAGCAGCACCUGGCCGGAAUGCCAUCUUUUCAGUGGUGCUCCUCGUGUUGGCCUGUAUUGUGUUAGUGGUGUGCGUGGGGCUGGUGGUUUGGAGACACAGGACUCGGCCUCUCUACCGUGAAGUCAGUCCUGAGAUCCUGAUGUCACCAAACAGCGGCACUGAUAAAUAAACAUACAUCAUAAACACUCAACACUCAUAAAAACUUCAAAGAUGACGUGACCUGAACGGUAACCCUUCCAGGUGUGCAGUACCUGCAUGAAUGCGUUUCAGCUGGAACAGAUGCUUUCAGAGUCUUCAGUUUUAUGGAAAAUAUGCAUGAAACAGCAUACGGUAGCAAUAUUAAAUCUAUUCUGAGCUUGAGCCAGGCCAUGUCUAAGAGAUUAAUUGUGCCUACACUACCAUUUUUAGGUGAAAUACGUCUCAGAAAGUCUGCAUUUAUUUGAUCAAAAGAACAGUAAAAACAGUAAUAUUGUGAAACACUAUUACACUUUCAAAUAACAGCUUUUUAUUUUAAAAUAUUUUAUAAUGUAAUUGUGUUUAUAUGCAUAUGUAUACAGUAACUUGUGAC